GCCGUGGUGGUGGAAUUGGUAGACACGCUGUCUUGAGGGGGCAGUGGAAGAAAUUCCGUGGGGGUUCGAAUCCCCCCCUCGGCACCA
rnacentral:tRNA from 1 species